rnacentral:misc_RNA from 1 species
UCUGUCUACGCAUGUGAUCUCAGGGUCGAUUGCUGAUACACUAGUGAGCAAAUGUCUUUCUAUAACUACCGUUCGAAAGGCAAGGAUUAAAUUAGCUGUUACUCUUAGUUGGCAUAUUGUGUCAUUAAGCAUUAGAGUUUCCAACGUUUUUUUUUUCAAGACUGGCCAGUUUAUGUUAAUGUGGCUGAUCCUUAAUUUCUAAAAUGUUGGUAGUUUCUGUUUCUGACACAAAAAAGGUAGUCUGUAUACUGAUAUUACCAUAUAUUUUCAUUACAUUCUUUGCUUCACUUUAUUAUCCAAAUAAUUUGUGGCUGUAAUGUUAUUACUGAGAACCCACGUGACAGUCUAUUUAUUAACUAUAAAGUUUGGUUUGUUUAGUCAACAACAUCUGCUUGCUAAAUGCUAAAUUAAUUUCAUGAAGAGAUCAAGCAUAUGCAAAUGGACAGUAAACUUUUAUACACACACUUUUCUUUUUAGAUGAAGUAAACAAAUGAUUAAGUUUGAUUGUAUUUUAUAAGCUCAAAAUAUUGUAGAUAUGGUGUCAUGGUGAUGUAAAUAUUCCACUUUACUUUUUGGCAAUAAUUUUCCUUGUUGAGCUCUUUAUUUUGUCAAUUAAUUGGUGUAUAAACUUUUAAAUAUUGCAGAUCAU